CAAAUAUACGAACAGUCAAUACGAAACCAAAAUCCCUAACAGACGCGCUGUUCAUCGUCGUUCUCACCUCGUUUGCGUCCCAAGCUCGCAAAAUUCCAGGCGAGUGAGAUCAAAAUUACCCACGCGUUCCUCUCUCUCCUCGCCACCAUGUUUAUAACUGUCUGACAGAUUCUUUCGUCCCCAUUCCCCUCUCACUUGAUGGAAGCCUCUAGAAGGCAUAUGCUGGAUGAAUGAGGAGCGUGGGAUUGAUUUCGGUUAAUCCCAGGCUUUCAUUCAUCAGGUGUGAGCCUGAUAACUAGAGGAAUUCUGGAUUUUUUUCGGGGAAUGCUUUUGAACGGAUUUUCUAAAAACUAAGGGGGUUGGGGGAAAGGAAGAGAAAAAGGGGAAAGGACUCUGGAUUUGUUCCUCUCUUUUGGUUGAGUUCUUAAAAAGGGUUUUAAAAAAAAAACCUAUAAGCAUUUUUAGUUUUGAAAUCUGGAUUCGAGUUCAUGGAAGACACAGAUUGAUGUUCGAAGCUCCGCCUCUACUGUUGUUCUGCUGAGUCGCUGCCGAACCUCGCUAAGACUUGGAGUUGAUAGUUGUAUUAUCGAGUUUCAAAUUGUUAUAAAGGGAAUUUACAACUUCAGUGGUGUGAUUAGUGGAGUAUGUUCAAUCAGUGAAAGCUGAGUUUGAAGAAUCAUCCUCUAUGCUUAGGCCUUAACUGCUAUCAUGGAGUCGAGGUUUCAGUUGAGUCAAGAUCUCGGGUUAAUUUUAAAUGUAUGUUUGAAUGGUUGUAUUAAGGAAAGGAGACUGCCUGUUCGAGGCCGGAUGUCUGCUUGACUUGUUGCAUUGCUUAGUACAAUCAGCUCUUUCCUUGCUAAUUUGAAUUGUAAUCUGAUGUUGCCUAGUCAGUGGUAUUUACCAAGACCUGCUACAAAUGCUCGAAGAUAAGCGAUUCAAUGUUUGUUCUAAAGCAGUAGCUAGUCUAAAUUUCAGCUAUCCAAGUAGAAUUGAUUUAAAUUUCAGCAGUAGCUUAUUAAGGUUUGGUUCAUUCUCGUCAUGUUUGGUUAGCUUCGCAUUCGCGUGGUUUGUCCACCUCGUCUUGGUCCGUAGGACUGUUGUAGAAAUGCUGCAGCUGUUAUUUUUCUUGUUAUUGCCCUGUUGAUUCGCUAGUUCUUCUGUUGAUAUUCCGUCGUUUGGUUUUC